rnacentral:rRNA from 1 species
AGAGUUUGAUCCUGGCUCAGAUUGAACGCUGGCGGCAGGCCUAACACAUGCAAGUCGAGCGGUAGCACAGAGAGCUUGCUCUCGGGUGACGAGCGGCGGACGGGUGAGUAAUGUCUGGGAAACUGCCUGAUGGAGGGGGAUAACUACUGGAAACGGUAGCUAAUACCGCAUAAUGUCGCAAGACCAAAGUGGGGGACCUUCGGGCCUCAUGCCAUCAGAUGUGCCCAGAUGGGAUUAGCUAGUAGGUGGGGUAACGGCUCACCUAGGCGACGAUCCCUAGCUGGUCUGAGAGGAUGACCAGCCACACUGGAACUGAGACACGGUCCAGACUCCUACGGGAGGCAGCAGUGGGGAAUAUUGCACAAUGGGCGCAAGCCUGAUGCAGCCAUGCCGCGUGUGUGAAGAAGGCCUUCGGGUUGUAAAGCACUUUCAGCGGGGAGGAAGGCGGUGAGGUUAAUAACCUCAUCGAUUGACGUUACCCGCAGAAGAAGCACCGGCUAACUCCGUGCCAGCAGCCGCGGUAAUACGGAGGGUGCAAGCGUUAAUCGGAAUUACUGGGCCUAAAGCGCACGCAGGCGGUCUGUCAAGUCGGAUGUGAAAUCCCCGGGCUUAACCUGGGAACUGCAUUCGAAACUGGCAGGCUAGAGUCUUGUAGAGGGGGGUAGAAUUCCAGGUGUAGCGGUGAAAUGCGUAGAGAUCUGGAGGAAUACCGGUGGCGAAGGCGGCCCCCUGGACAAAGACUGACGCUCAGGUGCGAAAGCGUGGGGAGCAAACAGGAUUAGAUACCCUGGUAGUCCACGCCGUAAACGAUGUCGAUUUGGAGGUUGUGCCCUUGAGGCGUGGCUUCCGGAGCUAACGCGUUAAAUCGACCGCCUGGGGAGUACGGCCGCAAGGUUAAAACUCAAAUGAAUUGACGGGGGCCCGCACAAGCGGUGGAGCAUGUGGUUUAAUUCGAUGCAACGCGAAGAACCUUACCUGGUCUUGACAUCCACAGAACUUUCCAGAGAUGGAUUGGUGCCUUCGGGAACUGUGAGACAGGUGCUGCAUGGCUGUCGUCAGCUCGUGUUGUGAAAUGUUGGGUUAAGUCCCGCAACGAGCGCAACCCUUAUCCUUUGUUGCCAGCGGUCCGGCCGGGAACUCAAAGGAGACUGCCAGUGAUAAACUGGAGGAAGGUGGGGAUGACGUCAAGUCAUCAUGGCCCUUACGACCAGGGCUACACACGUGCUACAAUGGCAUAUACAAAGAGAAGCGACCUCGCGAGAGCAAGCGGACCUCAUAAAGUAUGUCGUAGUCCGGAUUGGAGUCUGCAACUCGACUCCAUGAAGUCGGAAUCGCUAGUAAUCGUAGAUCAGAAUGCUACGGUGAAUACGUUCCCGGGCCUUGUACACACCGCCCGUCACACCAUGGGAGUGGGUUGCAAAAGAAGUAGGUAGCUUAACCUUCGGGAGGGCGCUUACCACUUUGUGAUUCAUGACUGGGGUGA